rnacentral:rRNA from 1 species
CUACGGGAGGCAGCAGUGGGGAAUCUUGCGCAAUGGGCGAAAGCCUGACGCAGCAACGCCGCGUGAGGGAAGAAGGCCUUCGGGUUGUAAACCUCUUUCAGGAGGGACGAAGCUUCCGGGGUUAAUAGCCUACGGGGUGACGGUACCUCCAGAAGAAGCCCCGGCUAACUACGUGCCAGCAGCCGCGGUAAUACGUAGGGGGCAAGCGUUGUCCGGAAUCAUUGGGGGUAAAGCGCGUGUAGGCGGCUUGAUAAGUCCGGUGUGAGACCUUGGGGCUCAACCCCAAGCCUGCAUCGGAUACUGUCUCGCUCGAGUUCGGGAGGGGAAAGCGGAAUUCCUAGUGUAGCGGUGAAAUGCGCAGAUAUUAGGAAGAACACCAAUGGCGAAGGCAGCUUUCUGGAACGAUACUGACGCUGAGACGCGAAAGCGUGGGGAGCGAACAGGAUUAGAUACCCGUGUAGUCC